rnacentral:rRNA from 1 species
AGCAGCCGCGGUAAUUCCAGCUCCAAUAGCGUAUAUUAAAGUUGUUGCAGUUAAAAAGCUCGUAGUUGAAUUUCGGAAUCAGUACGUUGGUCGUGCCUUUGGUAUGCACUGGUGUCACUGGUUCCUCCCUUCUGACGAACCGUGAUGUCAUUAAUUUGGUGUUGCGGGGAAUCAGGACUGUUACUUUGAAAAAAUUAGAGUGUUUAAAGCAGGCUCACGCUUGAAUACAUUAGCAUGGAAUAAUGAAAUAGGACGUUUGAUUCUAUUUUGUUGGUUUCUAGGAUCGACGUAAUGAUUAAUAGGGAUAGUUGGGGGCAUUAGUAUUCAAUUGUCAGAGGUGAAAUUCUUGGAUUUAUUGAAGACUAACUACUGCGAAAGCAUUUGCCAAGGAUGUUUUCAUUAAUCAAGAACGAAAGUUAGGGGAUCGAAGACGAUCAGAUACCGUCGUAGUCUUAACCAUAAACUAUGCCGACUAGGGAUCGGAUGAUGUUAAUUUUAUAAUGACUCAAUUCGGUACCCC